rnacentral:rRNA from 1 species
AUUGAACGCUGGCGGCAGGCCUAACACAUGCAAGUCGAGCGGAUGAGAGGAGCUUGCUCCUCGAUUCAGCGGCGGACGGGGGAGUAAUGCCUAGGAAUCUGCCUAGUAGUGGGGGACAACGUUUCGAAAGGAACGCUAAUACCGCAUACGUCCUACGGGAGAAAGUGGGGGAUCUUCGGACAUCACGCUAUUAGAUGAGCUUAGGUCGGAUUAGCUAGUUGGAAGGGUAAUGGCCUACCAAGGCGACGAUCCGUAACUGGUCUGAGAGGAUGAUCAGUCACACUGGAACUGAGACACGGUCCAGACUCCUACGGGAGGCAGCAGUGGGGAAUAUUGGCCAAUGGGCGAAAGCCUGAUCCAGCCAUGCCGCGUGUGUGAAGAAGGCCCUCGGGUCGUAAAGCACUUUAAGUUGGGAGGAAGGGCUUACAGCGAAUACCUGUGAGUUUUGACGUUACCGACAGAAUAAGCACCGGCUAACUUCGUGCCAGCAGCCGCCGUAA